GGCUCUGUAGCUCAGUGGUAGAGCGCCUGUCUCAUGAAAUCAAGAUUUCACAUGUAAAUCUCGAUUAGAGACAGCAGGAGGUCGAGAGUUCAAUUCUCUCCAGAGCCA
rnacentral:tRNA from 1 species